rnacentral:lncRNA from 1 species
CGGUGACGAAUGCCAAGAAAACUGCUAAAGGAAAAUUGUGUAUGGGUGGGCUGAUAACACCUAUAUUGUUAGCAUGUGGAGUGCCUUUAGAGUCAGAAGAGGUCCUUCCUAAGUGGGUCGACAUCGAAUACUUGAGGAAGACCACGUCAUUGGAUUGGGAGAUGCUGGAUGGAAGGUAUGCCUGGAUAUUUGAUCUUCCAGAAGCAGAAGGGGCGAGAUUUCUCCUCCCUCACCAGGCAUUCACCACGAUCAUGGACAUAAGCAAUAUUGAUUUCAAACCACCUGUUCAGAUGCUCUAUGGCGUGAACAAAGUUGUUCAACCUGCUGAAGAAGAAGGAACCAAUGCUGGAGAAAACGAAGCCGCUGAAGAAGAAGAGGACCUGGAUAUAGAGGAAUAUAACACCAGGAGGUUCCAUUUUGCUGAACACAUAUCGCCAUCAAGACAGAGCAAGAGCCUCAAUGAGAGUCAUGAGAAGAUCAGCAAGUUCCAAGACAAGUUCAUUGGUAAGUGCUUCAAGAUGUACAAAUCCAUGUAGAAGAAGUUGAAUCGCUCCUCUACUAGCACUACUGCACCAAGAGUAGACCCUCCUGAAGAGAUACCCUCCAGACGUUAUGAUUCAGAUGCACCAAGGGACUCAACCUAUGAACCGGUUCAAGACGUCUACGAAGUGCCCAGGCAAUCCGCCUAUGAAAAAAGGGAAGCAGACACUUCCUAGGCACCAGCAAGACAUUCCUCUCACGAACCUAGAGAGCAUAGGAGAAGAAGGAAACAAGCACCGGUUCACUCAGGUAGCAAGGCGAGGCUCCUCAACGCCAGGCGACCACUCAUCCGCCGCACUGACCGCCAAGCCGACCCUGCGAUCGAGUACCCUGCACCAGAGGAGGGUCGAGUAUGUGUGUUUUUACUAACAAAAAUUCUAAUUCAUCACCACAUACUCGAUCACAAGGAGAUCAAGCACCCAGCAUCCCAUGGGAAUACACCAGAGAGGAGAUGGACGACUACAUCUCCAGGACCUUCAACUGAGGUACCACACCCAACCAUCAUUGUAAAUACCAUUUUCUGCUUUUGUUUUUAUAGUGUCUCUCUUGAAAUCUCCUUCAGAUUUUUACUACACAAGGGACUAUGUAGUUUAAGUUUGGGGGAGAAUUCAAGACGUAUUUAACAUGUUUUCUUUGAGUCUUGUUUUCAAAUUUUGCAUUUCACACUUGAGUCUGCAUUCAUCUAAAGCAUAGAAAAAACCAAAAAAUUUGAAAAUUUUCUGAAAAUUUUAUUCCACAAAAACAGAGUGUUCAUCCAGUUGCAUCACAUUUAGGAUCGAGUCUAGUAUGUUUCAUAUAGGAUUGUUGCAUAUGCAUAGGGGAUUAUGAUGAAAUAGCCUUGUAAGCAUGUUGGUUCAGUAGAUAGACUCAGUGCCCUCGUUGCUAGUUGUCUGAUGCGCAGUCAAUGAAAUUGAAGUAAAACUGCACCAUGUCUUGAAUGCUCUACUCGAUCACACUGUCAUGAUUUGAUACCAUUCCCUAUCAAUUUGAACCUGAAUCUGAUUUACAAUUAUCAUGUCUUAGCAUCAAAUUUGAACUCAUGGAUACCAUAUACAUACUUGGGUUUUCUUUCAACUUUUCACCAUCCUUGCUAACCCAAGUAGCUGCUUCCAUCAUAGGAGCAGUUUCCCUAGACCUUAACCAAACCUCUCUUUUAAAAGCCCUGUAAUAUCUCGUGUGUGAUUGUGAGUCCUGUUUCAGGAUUGAGCUUGGUAGAAAGUGUUAGGUUUGAAUCGACAAGAAUAGCGUCUCAUGUAGUUCUAGUCCAUGCCAUCUGGACUAGAUAGGACUAGGUGGGAGUCUAUUUUUGGGUGGGGAUCGAGUAUAUGAGUAAAAGAAGGUAAAGGUUGAUGUUUUUAGGAGAAGGAAGUUGAGAAACAAGUUAGUCUAGUAGUGGGUUUUGAGGAACUAAAAUUCGAAUAGAUAGGCUCUGUAACAAAAGAAAGCAAAAGUCUAGAAAAGUCUUUAUUCAUAAGAAGAUAACAAGAGCCAUAGUUGUCAAAGAAAACCAAAACCCACUAGAUCCAUCAAGUAAAAAAAAACUUCUCCUUAGAACAGAGUCAGAGAAAAAGAAAGAGUGAUUUGAUCAAAGAUAAAAAUGAGAAAAAAUGCCUUGAGUGCAAAGGGUAGAACUAGGAUCAUCUUCUGGGCUUGAGGGUAGUACCAUCUGCUGGUGUAAACACGGUUUAUGAUAUUGGGUAGAUGAGAUACUGUUCUUGUAUGCAUAAGUUGGGUCUUACCUUUAGCAUUCUCCUAAAGCUCAGUCCAAUUCUUUUGAGAGUCCCCUGUUACUAAACUUGAACCACCUUAAAGGGACUGUCUUUGUCUCCUAACCUUCACCUUAAGCCAAAUGAGUUCAUUGAUGGUGCGUUGCUUGAUUCACGUUCUGAUACUAAUGAAUGUUAAAGGGAUUUGUCGAUUUGAAAGCAUGUGUAGAUCGAGUAUAAGAGUCGGAUUGAACUAUAACAAGGCAUGGCUAACGUUUUUGAGUAGAGAUCGAUCAUAUCGCAUCCUAGAACUACCAACUUGGACCUUGAUUUUAUCUAUUUUAUCUGAUGCUUUGGUUCUGAAUCCCCACCUUCAAACCUCUCCUUCAUCUUAUGUUUACUUGUUUGCUUGAGGGCAAGCAAAGACUAAGUUUGGGGGAGUUGAUAUGUCUAUAAUUUGCAUGUUUUACACAUCCAUUUAUCACCAUUUUGAGUCUAGUUUCGUUCAUCUUUUAUAGCAUUCAUCAUCAUUUCGCAUAAUUUGCAUGUUUAAGUGUGUCUAGCAUUAGUCUUGCAUGCAUUUUGCAUUCUGGAGUUGUUUCAGGUGUUUCGGAGCUAUUGGUGUUCAGAAAGAAGAAAAACAGAGCUGAAAGUCACAUUUGGACCCUUAUACUCGAUCACCAGUAGCAGAGAGGGAAGCAGUCAGCUCAGCAGACCAUCAGAACCCUUAUACUCGAUCACAGGGCAGUCCAGCCAGACAGUUCUACUCGAUCGCAGAGGAAGAGGAGCAGUCCAUCUUGCCAGUUCACUGUUAUACUCAAUCGCAAGGUUGAAGAAGCAGUCCGUCCUGACAGUCUACCCACAUACUCGUUCACAAGAGAGAAGAAGCAUUCCAGACCACGCCACCACCCAUUCUACUCGAUCACCACCUCGACCCUUUGAUCAAUCCGCACUCAACCAGACAACCUGAGCAUAGGAAAGAGAAAAGGAGAGAAGGAACCACUUGAUUGCGGCUUCGAUUCACGCUCGACCAUGAAGCCCACUUUGAGCCCAUCUACUCGACCACAACGUUCCAUGGGCCUGUUAAGCGGACUCGAAGCCCACUUACUUAAUUUUUUCGUUUUUACUAUAAAUAAGUCUCUAAGGGUUUUCCCUGAGACAUGGACUUUAUAUUUUCUUUUCAAUUACGUUUUAGACUCGCAACCUAGUUUCGUUCAGUAGCCGCUUUUGCUUCUGAAACUCUGUAUUUUCGUUUCUUCUAAGUUAUUGAGAUUUUGCUUUCGUUUCCUUGUUCAUUUCUAUUUUAUUUCCUUUAAUCUUAGAAGUUAUGCAAUCAUCAAUUGUUUCUGUGUCUUUGAGCAUGUUGUCUGAGUAGUGACUAGGAUUUCUGAGGAUGGGAUAGAGUAGUUGUGAGACCCAUGGUCGAUUCUGAUGGUUAAGUGUAGUUUUAUUGAAUCCCUUCUGGAUUAGUUGUGUUUACUGCUUAUUCCUUUCCGAUCAACUGGAAUUCGAUCCAAAGCAUUCCCGUACCCAGAAGGUGUUCGAUGGAAUGCUUGAUCUACUAAUUCCAGUAAUAAUCGUCUCUAUCCCAAGAGAUUGGCCGUUUAGAGCGGUUAUUGACUUUAACAGUAGGUUCUUAUUGCCUGCAUAGUUAGAUUCCGUUAAUGGGAAUUAGUCUGGGCUAGCUUUGCUUGAGGAUUUGUUGCACGGGAGUGAAUAAGUCUGUUGUUGAACCUGUUGUCUAGGGAUAGCUUCAUUGAGAAUUGUUAACCAUCUGAAUUGAUUAUGGAGUCCACACUAUUUGAUUACCCCAUCCUUAGGAGUUUCUUAUCCAAUUGAUUUAUCUGUCUACUUACUUGCUUCUGCUUUGUUACCUGCUGUUUAAGUUUUUAACAAUUUUACUCUGUGACACUAGUUUACUCGAUCGCACCCUCCCUUCUGGCAGUGAGCCUUGUGAUCGAGUAUAGCAGUCCAUUUCUGCAAAUUCACUGUUUUCUGCAUCAAUCACUAGAACUGUUAGAAAAACAACCAAUUCAUGCUUGGCUUGACUUAGUGCUUUCUGAUCAUAUCUCAUUUGUUUGCAUCACACCUGAUUGGAUUGACACCUAAAAUACUACAACGACAGGAUAGUGUUUUAGGAUAAUUGAUCUUAAAAUCCUAUUAUCACUUCCUUUUCUUUCUUUCUUUUUUUUUUUUUUUUUGAAAGGGGAAGCGGUACUUAUUUACAGACGAGUCUUAAAAGCACGAAGUAAGUACCUUUUGAAAUUGAAUCCCAAGGAAGAAUAAUCUCUAGAUUAAAUCAUCACAUCCUCUCUGUAACUUCCGAAUAUCCGUCUUCGUGGCGGGAAACUGUGUCGUUCCUUUCUCUCCGACGUUUUUGCACAUAGCUGCUAAUGAGAGAAGGAAAAAGAGAAUGCAUGAGGUCUCAAAAGAGGAUAGGGUUUAAAGGGUAGGAAACACUAAAAGUGAGUGGCCAUUCAGGAUCAGCAGAGAGUGGUAAAAAAGGAUAAGAAGUCCUGAAUGUAUAUGCUCGUUUCCCCGAUCUAACACCUCUUCAUGAGAAAGAAUUAAGUUCAGGUUAGAUCGUCCAAAUGAAAUAGAGUUAACUUCCGGUCAAACAAAGUCUCUACGGUCAAAAAUUCAGGGGAAAGAUCCCGGUAGGAGCUUCUAGGUAUUGACUGUUCUGGUGAGUCCUGCAAAACUUGUCACUCAAGAAAUGAAUUAGAGCAUAUGGAAUGGUCAUUUUCAUCAUAUAUCAAGGUCAUCAUUCCCUACAUCGUUUUUGACUCAAUAAAACUACGAUAAGAAAAAGACAUUAAAAUGACUCAAAGAAAAAGAAAAAGUACGUGAGUACGGAUAAAUACCCCCGCAGACUUAAAUUACACUGUCCCCAGUGUAACAAAGCGGACGGAUGAAAAGAAAAAUAAAAGAAAAAGAAAAAUGCGGGAAAAGUAAAGAUAGAACCGAAUGACCUCUACUACGCCGAGGAGGUUGCAAAUCCGGUGGUGGUGACAAAUCAAUGUCGGGGAUCUCGAAUCAUCCUCUACAUCUGCUCCGUGAGGGCUAUCUGCUCGGCUAGCCGCUGCUCUAGCGCAAUAUGUCGCGCUCUUUCUUCCUCGAGGGAGGAAGAAUCGGUCUCGUAAGAACGGGCAGCUUGUGUGGCUCUCCUGGAAUCCAACGCCUUCUUCUUGACGUAACCAGCAAGUGUGAAAGGUAGUCACUCUCCGAAUUGUAGUGACAAGAACUCACUACUCUCGGGAUCCCAUCUCGUAGCUCCAUUCCUCAAACGUGGAAUGGUGGAACAAGGAAGCAUGAUAGUACAGAUAAGGCGAGGGGAAACGUGAUACCUGUAUCCAAAACAAUCGGGAUCGAUGCGUGCACCCUCAAAAAUCCUCAUCGUACCGAGUCUCUCAAGGUCAAAGUAGUGCGCCUCGGCGGUGAAUGGGCGAUCCGUGAGAUCAACUCCCGCAGCUUCAAGUAUCGUCGUAAUGACUCCACCGAAGCUUAGAGAAGCAUCAUCGUCGGUGUAAUGGAUCGCCUCCUGCUUGAUCUUCACUAAUCCCUUGUCAAAGAGCGAGGCAUAGUUAACUCUCCGGGGAAAGUCAACAAAAGGUGUCUUCAAGACAAGAAGCUCAUCGCCAAGUACAUUGUUAUGAGCGGUGCGGGCGAAGAUAGAUGUGGCUAGCAGCUUGUGAACGCAUCGGAUGGCCGGAUGAGAUGUCAAGGCGGAUUUGUUCUUUCUGCUAGAGAAAGGACCUUUCCCGAUUCGUUGCCAAGUAUCUCCAUGCGUUUCUGGGCCAAAGUCAAUAGCAUCUUGGUAAUCAAAUCCAAGUGCUCUUCCAAGGUGUGGUAUGGAGAUUGUGAAGUGGGAACCGUGGAUCGUGAAGUAGAGAACCCCAUCCCUCGCCAAAGGUGAACUCGUGCGCGGGAAGGCUAGGGUAACCGUGGCAAGAAAUUGCCUCGUCUCUUCUUCGUAGAUUUCUCGGUGAAUGGACUCCAUGAAGUGACGAAGUCCAAGUGUAUCCAACAUCCAUAUCACGUCAUUAUCAAGAUCAAGCGCUCUAAAGGUCGAGUAAUCGAUGAGCAAAGAUGGCGUCAGCUUGAUCUUGUCGAUGAACUCUCUAUAAUCAACAUCGUCUUUCACCGGUUGGCCAACAAACUUCAUUGGUAGCUCUCUUCUCGGCGGUUGUUAUCGGGAAAGACGUCUAAGAGUGGCUCCGACUCGUUCGGGUACUAAGGAUGUGAGCAUGAAAUUGUCAUCCUCAUCAUCGUGAGUCGCGUUAGAGGUUGUAGAGGCUCCUUCUACUUACUUCGCUUUGUGUUUGUCUCUAGCUCAGUCAUGGUAUCUCUUGCUACGCCGUUCGUCAUAUAUGUUGUCGGUGACUUCAAAUAUGCGGACGGGUUCCUCAAGCGGGCGUGAAUCUCGCGAUCGUCAUGAGGAAUUCCUAGAAUCCAUUGGUACCUAAGAAUGCAAAAGAUAUAGACAAAGUUAGCACUAGACAUGGUUAAACCAAAAUUCAAAUCUCUUGGUGCAAUGAUACUUAAAUAAGUAUCUAGAGAUUGAAUUAGCAAUUUGAAACAAUAGCAAAGUAUGAGAAUCAAGAAAUCAAAUUCAUUUGGUAUGCCAUUAGUAUUCAAUUUUCGGAUUCAUAGUGAUUUUCACAAAAUUCAACUUCAAAAGUGUUUAAUCAAAGCAUAAUUAAGUGAAAAUCAAUCUAAUUCCUCUUAUCCAUGAUGAAUAAAGCUUAAAGAAGUAAGAUUUAAGAGUUUGCAUCAUCAAUUUCACUAAACCUAGAGGUCCGAAAAUUUCAACAAAUCUAUAAUCCAAUUCUAGCUACAAGACUUCACCAAAUUCCUGGGGUUACAAUCCUAUAAGCAUAUCUACAAGUUCUCUAUCCAAAUUAACUAACUAAAGCUAGAGAAUCUAGAGAAUUGAGAUUACCUUACUUUAGGAAUAAAGAGAGAAUUAGAGUUUUAGGGACAUACCUUUGCUUUUUGUAGAAGUGGGUUAGAGAAUAAGAAUCUCUAAAGAAAUCAAUUAGGAAGCACUACUCAAUUUUGAAAACCCCAAAUUUUUUAAAAGAGGUGAGUUUUGGAUUUUUCUCUCAAAAGCUUUGGGAGAGAAGAAGAAUAAGGUUUUAGAUCCAAAAAGCUCUCCUUUUUCUUUUAAAAAGAUGUUUCCAAUUAAAGGGUGGGCUUUAAAAAGGAAGGGAGGGAAAAGAAAACUUACCUGUUGUGGGGCCUACAGUUUUGGGUUUUCUGAAAAUAGAAACUUACAGAGAAUCUCUUGUCGGGAACGAAUUGGUUUACACGAAUUGGUGAGUUGUAUCCGGUGUCGGGACAUCGGCUCACGAUCAUGCAACGGACGUAUGAAGAAGGAAAUUGGAAUCGAGUACGAAGUGCAAUCGGUCCGGGCUCCUCAGGUCACCCCGAUCACGACGUGUCACGGCCGGUCUGGCCUUAAUUGGGUGCCCCGGUCACGAGCAUCCGUGACCGGUCUGAGUCUUCAUGACGGCCCCGGUCACGGGCAUUAGUGACCGGUCCAACACUUCUUCAUUCCGAUUUCGGAAGUUUCGGUUCUCUUGCUGUAACUUUCAAACAAAUCAGCAAGCGGACAUAAUUUUCUCUACCAAAAACUUUAAAAUAUACUUAUUACCUGUGAAUUGGAGUGCGGUGAAGUUUCUUGACUUCGAGAUCACGCUUUUCGAGUACGGCACAGUGAAGAGUUGCUUUGGACAUCUUCAAUUCUACCCCGGGAACUGCUAUUUUUCUCUCGGCCAUUGUCUCCGGAAUGGGCACAUUACUUAUGGAAAUUUCAUCGAAAGUGGUUCCUGAGAUAUUUAAACUUCAAUCGGUUAGUAAUAAGUAUUCGACGUACCUUUAUGUCAUAUCUUCCAAUCCACUCCGAAUCAUGACUUGUUUUUCUCGGCCAUCCUCUUCAGAGCAGCUAGUUUCCGGAUGAAUUUCUCUUUUCAAGCCAAUUCACGAAGUUGGGAUUGUUAGUACGGUGACGGCUCUUUUGGUUGCAAUCGUCACAUCUCUAAAAUGGCUCGUUCUUUCACGAUUCUGUCUUGAUCAUUACUCAUGAAAUAUCCAACUUAUUGGUAGAUUUUCAAUCUUAGAUCAUUUGGUCGGACAGAUUUGAAAAACGGACGUGGAGGUGUGAUUCGGUACAAUCGCGGUACGUAUGCGGGACGUACGGAAGGGCGACGGCGGUACGGUCGGGCUCGGCAUCAAGGAUGGCCCCAGUCACAAGGGACGUGACCGGUCCGUGGGUUCACGGUCACACCGGCCACUUGGGGUAGUGACCGGUCCGGCGUGAAGGGUCGGCCCCAGCCAAGGGGGGUUGUGGCCGGUCCGGCGGUUGACGGACCUCUCUUCUUUUUUUGAUUUUCUGAUUUUCUGAAUUUCUAUUUUGUUUUUAUGGUUUUUAUGAAAGACAUGAAAUUGCAAACACGAGAAACACGAAAAGUAAAGUAAAGUAAAAACUAAAAUGAAAUUGAAAAAAAACUUACGAGUGAGUUGCCUCCCACUAAGCGCGCUUGUUUAACGUCGUUGGCUCGACAUUUGGGAAGCCGGUUUAGGCUUGGUGGUGUGAAGCUUCAGAAAUCGUCUUUCCUUUAGCGUCCUCGAUGUCUUGGUAGUCGGCUCCGGCUUCUAUAACAAGUUUUCCUUUAGCCAAAGUUUCGAAAACUUUAGCUUGGAGGAGAACUUCCUUAGUAUGCCGAAUCAUCUCUUGGAUUUGAUCUUUGCUCUCCUUGGUAAGCUCGAGAGGGACAAUGAUCUUUAUCUUUGAAAUUUGAGGCGGCUUGGGCGGUUUGAAUUGCGUUCUUGGAGUUCUAUCACGAACUCCGCGGUUGCUUGUCUAUGCUUUAUAGAUAUCGGGACCAAUAGGAUCGCCAAGUAGAGGACUUACCUGAGUAGGAAUCGUCUUAGAGAUUGUCAGAUAAGACAUCUUCUUUUUGAUUUUUGCGAAGAUCGUUUUGUUGCGGUUGUGGUCAAUCACGGCACCAACGGUUGCAAGGAACGGUCUCCCCAAAAUAAGAGGUCUCUCUGUCUUCUUAUCCAUCUCCAAGAUAUGGAAAUCGGUAGGGACUAUGCAAUCUCCAACGACUAGUUGCAGGUCGCGAACUAAUCAAUCGGGAAUCUUUUGGGAUGAGUCUCCAAAGACUAAGCUAAGAUGGGAUGGAGAUAAAUCUCGCAAUCCAAGCUUCUCUGCAACACAUCUUGACAUCACAUUAACAUUAGCACCAGAAUCACAAAGGGAGUUAGGAAAUUCGAUGCCUAUAAUGGAGCAAGAGCAGACAAAACGUCCCGGAUCUUUGACUUUGGUAAGUCUCCGUAACGUGUAGCGUUCGGGCGUGUCCUCGACAAUGAUUCGCGUCAUACGAAUCAUAUCUUCAUGAGAAUCAAAGAGCGGCACCAAUGGGUCGGCUUCACGGUUGUGGAGGGCUGGUACGGCUGAGAUGGCAUUGCAAUAUCCUUUAGGAUUUUCUUCGGCUCUUCCUGGAAGUACACCGGCUUGUCGCUUAACGGCUUCGGAGGUUUGAGCGACUUGAGUAUCAAGUUUCUUCACAUGUGUGGAAAGACUUUCGAACUUUCCAUUCAAUUCACCAUAUACGUUCUCAAUCUUCACGUUAAUAUCUUGGGAAGUCUUAUGAUGAGAUGCUAGAAGUUCUUGCAUCAUCAUCUCGAGCUUACUUCCUUGAGAAGGCACGGCUUGGAUCGGUCUGGGUUGGAAAUGCACCUUGCUGUUGUUGUUGAAAGGAGCUCAUGGCUGGAAGUUGUUACCACCGUAGUUGGCAUUUUGAAAGCAGUUUUGAAAAGGCUUUUGUUGCGGAUAGCUUUGAUCCCGAGGAUUCUCCACAUUCAGGUUCCUUUAAGAAAGGUCAGAAGUAUUGCGAAAGUUGUUGUUGAAGUUGUUGUUGUACCCUCGGUUUUGGUAGAAUCCUUGGGAACCAACGUAGUUUACUUCUUCUUCUUGGUUGAAUGUAUCAUCGAACUCUUAGAAAGCUGGUGUUUCCAUUACCAAUCGUCUCACAUGCGUUGACGGCAUGGUUCUGGUUCCUCAGAAGUUGAUUCAUCAUUCCCUUCAGCUCGGCGAUUUGCUUUGCGUUGGAAUCAUUAGAACGGGUUGUUCUAUCAAAAUCUGUGAAAGCAUUGCUGUUGCUUGUGGCGAGUUUUUCUAUCAAGUCACGUCCUUCUUGAACGGUUUUGGUAGUGAAAUCUCCAUUGCUCGUCGUGUCUAGCGAAAGUUGAAACUUGGAAUGUAAGCCUCUAUAGAAAGUACUUAAGAGGUUACCUUCCAGGAAGCCAUGGUGAGGACAAUCGCGUUCGUAGUCCUUGAAUCGUUCCCAUGCUUCGUGAAAUAAUUCAACAGGUCCUUGUUUGAAUCCUUGCAGCUUGUUUCUUAGAGACUUGGACCGUGACUUCGUGUAGAAGUGAUUGAGAAAGGUUGACUUGCAUCCUUCCCAAUUGUUAAUAGAUCCAGGAGGUAAAGACUUUAACCAUCUAUGAGCCAUGUCGGCUAAUGAGAAGGGAAAAAUCUUACACUUCAAAUAAUCGUCAGGUACUCCACGGGAUUGUGUUGUACUGUAGAUUUAAUUUCUUCAAAAAGAUCGAUGUGAUCCAUCGGGUGCUCCGUGUUUAAACCAUGGAAUUGGUUCUGCUUCACAAGACCAAUGAUUUGAGGUUUGAUCUCAUAGUCACGUCUUGGAGGAUUGGGUACUCGUAUGGCAGCUCGAUCUUGCGGAUAUGAGUUUGGUGCAUCAUAAUCGGCUAUCGUACGGUGUAGAGCGGCUCGUCUCAAAGGAGGAACAUAGGCGGCAUGUCUUGCGGCAACAUUAAGAGGAUGUUGGGCAUUGAUGACAUUAGCGGGCUGCGGAAGAUUAAGGUUAUCUCCCACGCCUGGAGGAUUAGCUUCCGGAAGAGCUUGUUGAUCACGUUCUCGGCCAUCUUGCGGGUCGAGUCUUUCUUCUUGUGGUUCGUAGAUGGGGUUACCAUCUUCAUCGUGUAAGGGCUAUCCUUCCCCGUCCAGGGCUAGAACUUGUUGGUGUUGCGGACCAAGGUCUCUGUCACGCGGGUUUCGUUGGUCGGCCAUCAGUUGUUGUCUUUGAAGUCUCCGGAUUUCACGUUCUAGUCUUCCUAUAUCUUGGUAUGGCGGCACACCUGAGUUUUGACUCCUUCUCAUGCACUACAGAUACCAAAAACAGAAACUAAAAGGAAAACGAAGUUAUCGAAAAAAAGUAAAAGUGAGAAUUUAAACGUUAAACUCAAAGUAUCUUAGAGGAAAUCUCUUAUCGAAUUCAAUGGUAGCUUGAAUCACUCCCCGGCUGUUGGGGUCGGAUCCCACACAUCUUCGGUAGGAUCCACUUGGAUCUUUCCACGCCAUUAUUACAUAACAAUCCUCUUGGAUUUCUAGAUGUUUCAUUGCGAGAAUCGAGCUCGACCUGUCGGAAGUUCGAUUCAGUUUAUUAAAGAGCUCGAUCUUUACCAGUACGGAGUUCACUCUUAUUCAACAUAUAGUUCGCAUAAAAGAAGACUGAAGCGAGGAGAAUAUUGUUCGAGGUUCGCGGCAGCGUCAAGACGCAGGAGUUCGGAGUCAACAAGAAAGAGUUCGGAAGAUCCACGCGAAGCCCAAGAUAGUUCAAAUUCAAGCCAUUUCGGUCAAAUUGUAACUUACAUGAUUAAUGCGGAUCAAUGCGAUUAUGAGCAGUAAAUGACCGCAUUGAUCAUGUUUUCUCUAUAAAAACAACCUCAAGCGCAUGUGUUUGGAAAAAAGAGAACAACCUUUUACCUCUUACCAUCAAGCAAUACAACAUACUCUUUCUUUUACAAUUUUGCAAGGCUUUUUACUAUCUUAUUCUUGCCAAACUCUUUCGCUUUAUUUAGUUUCUUGGUUACUUUCCUUUUCAAAUCCUUAUUUUCAUUUGUUGAUUUUAGAGUUUUUCUCUACAAAAAUACUUAAAGACAAUCGUGUGUGAAUCCUACAUCCACAUUUUGGCGCCGCCUGUGGGGACUAGAGACUCGUGGCGGAGAACUUAAUCUCACGGUUUUAAGUCUCUCGUUUGAUAGAUUAUCGGAAUCUGGAGCCUUCCUCUUUGUACAAGGAGAAGAGGUUAUUUCUCCCUCACACCCUGGUUCGGAAGGGCAAAUUGCGGUGGCAACUGGAGGGUCGUUAAGGAUCUCGGCUCCAUGAGUAUACACCGCGGCUGACAGGGCUGCUUCUAAUGAACCGUCAUCAACCAAGAGGUUCUUCCUGUGGAAGUUACCAACCCUGGAGAUUGCAGCUGUCCGUUUCUUUCUCCCGAUUUCGGAUAGCUGAUCCUUAAGAGCCUUGAUUUCAGCCUGCAUCUUUCUUUUCUCUCGAGCAUUCAGGCUCGAGACGUCUUUCUCCUCGGGAGGAGGAUCGAGGGGGUGAGUCUGACCGUCUUUAAUGGCGAGCCCUUCUUUAUGAAUGCGUCGAAGGGUGAAGGAAUUCCAAUUUGUUUCACCCUCGGAAACGAUUCGAAAGAAGGACAAGAAGUCAACGGUCGGGCGGGGGAUCGUCUGGUUCCCUGAAACAAAGUAUUGAGUUAAGAAUUCUAUAUCUUUAACAUAAUACAAUGGAAAGUAAUAAAUGUUGGAUUUUUAACCAAGUUUAGCCGACCAAUUGGCGAGAAGAAGACCGGAAAGACCUUGAACAGAAUGGGGAUUGACUCAGAAAAAGAACCAGUAUUUCCUCCUAGGCCCAUCAUUCGAGGGCAUUCCGUCGAUCAGGUUACGGUCAAGGAUCGGGUUUAUAGAAAAAAUACCCGCUGCUGCGGAUUCACGGGCUCGAAAUAGCCCUAGGAGUUCGCUGGUGGAGAGGGAAAACCCUGCUUCUGCCGAAACAGUCAGUGUGCUCAGAACGUAUCGAAGAAAGUUGGGAGCCAUUUGGGGAAAGGCAAUCCCUAGGUGGAGGAGGUAUAAAAGAAGAACUUCCGGUACAGGAAAAAACAAACCGCAACCUUUGAAAUAGACUUCGUACGCACAACAGUAACCCUCUCGCACCACUUCCGGAGACUCGUUGGGUCUAGGAAGAGAGAAUUCAAUUUCCUGGGGGAUGUUACAAAGGUGGCGAAGAGCGCCAAGGGAAGCAGAGGUCGACUGAGACCUGAAAUGCGGACCAAAUUUGUCUCCCCUUUUGGGUGAAGACUUCAUCCCCUCUGGGAACAGGGAUUCCUUGAUUGUCAUCUUCGUUUUCCGAAACAUAGACGGCUGGGGAAGACAUCUUUUACUAAGAGGUUUCUCUUUUUCUGGUUUGGUAAAAGCUUUUAGAGGUAAAUGUACGCUACUGUAAAAGCCGUCGUUCCAUUUAACCUUAUUUAGCAGAAAACCGCCUCGAGAAUAUUGGGAAGUGGGACGGUUUUCCCAUGGUAUUAAUAUAAAAUUAGAAAAUUAAUGAUGACGGUUGUCAGGGAUAUCAAAUUAUUUGAUUAUCCGAGAUCGGCGUAAUAGCGGAAAACAUUGAAUAAUUCCGGAAUGUUAAAGAUCUCGAGUCAUUAAUUACUGUUUACUUAAGUCUUCCAAGCCGAGCACUCAGCUCGCAAGACUUGGGGGGCUAAAUGUUGGGGUCGGAUCGCACACAUCUUCGGUAGGAUCCACUUGGAUCUGUCCACGUCAUUAUUACAUAAUAAUCCUCUUAGAUUUUUAGAUGUUUCAUUGCGAGAAUCGAGCUCGACCUGUCGGAAGUUCGAAUAGGUUUAUUAAAGAGCUCGAUCUUUACCAGUACGGAGUUCGCUCUUAUUCAACAUAUAGUUUGCAUAAAAGAAGACCGAAGCGAGGAGAAUAUUGUUCGAGGUUCGCGGCAGCGUCAAGAUGCAGGAGUUCGGAGUCAAUAAGAAAGAGUUCGGAAGAUCCACGCGAAGUCCAAGAUAGUUCAAAUUCAAGCCGUUUCGGUCAAAUUGUAACCUACAUGAUUAAUGCGGAUCAAUGCGAUUAUGAGCAGUAAAUGACCGCAUUGAUCAUGUUUUCUCUAUAAAAACAACCUCAAGCGCAUGUGUUUGGAAAAAAGAGAACAACCUUUUACCUCUUACCAUCAAGCAAUACAACAUACUCUUUCUUUUACAAUUUUGCAAGGCUUUUUACUAUCUUAUUCUUGCCAAACUCUUUUGCUUUAUUUAGUUUCUUGGUUACUUUCCUUUUCAAAUCCUUAUUUUCAUUUGUUGAUUUUAGAGUUUUUCUCUACAAAAAUACUUAAAGACAAUCGUGUGUGAAUCCUACAUCCACAUUUUGGCGCCGCCUGUGGGGACUAGAGACUCGUGGCGGAGAACUUAAUCUCACGGUUUUAAGUCUCUCGUUUGAUAGAUUAUCGGAAUCUGGAGCCUUCCUCUUUGUACAAGGAGAAGAGGUUAUUUCUCCCUCACACCCUGGUUCGGAAGGGCAAAUUGCGGUGGCAACUGGAGGGUCGUUAAGGAUCUCGGCUCCAUGAGUAUACACCGCGGCUGACAGGGCUGCUUCUAAUGAACCGUCAUCAACCAAGAGGUUCUUCCUGUGGAAGUUACCAACCCUGGAGAUUGCAGCUGUCCGUUUCUUUCUCCCGAUUUCGGAUAGCUGAUCCUUAAGAGCCUUGAUUUCAGCCUGCAUCUUUCUUUUCUCUCGAGCAUUCAGGCUCGAGACGUCUUUCUCCUCGGGAGGAGGAUCGAGGGGGUGAGUCUGACCGUCUUUAAUGGCGAGCCCUUAUUUAUGAAUGCGUCGAAGGGUGAAGGAAUUCCAAUUUGUUUCACCCUCGGAAACGUUUCGAAAGAAGGACAAGAAGUCAACGGUCGGGCGGGGGAUCGUCUGGUUCCCUGAAACAAAGUAUUGAGUUAAGAAUUCUAUAUCUUUAACAUAAUACAAUGGAAAGUAAUAAAUGUUGGAUUUUUAACCAAGUUUAGCCGACCAAUUGGCGAGAAGAAGACCGGAAAGACCUUGAACAGAAUGGGGAUUGACUCAGAAAAAGAACCAGUAUUUCCUCCUAGGCCCAUCAUUCGAGGGCAUUCCGUCGAUCAGGUUACGGUCAAGGAUCGGGUUUAUAGAAAAAAUACCCGCUGCUGCGGAUUCACGGGCUCGAAAUAGCCCUAGGAGUUCGCUGGUGGAGAGGGAAAACCCUGCUUCUGCCGAAACAGUCAGUGUGCUCAGAACGUAUCGAAGAAAGUUGGGAGCCAUUUGGGGAAAGGCAAUCCCUAGGUGGAGGAGGUAUAAAAGAAGAACUUCCGGUACAGGAAAAAACAAACCGCAACCUUUGAAAUAGACUUCGUACGCACAACAGUAACCCUCUCGCACCACUUCCGGAGACUCGUUGGGUCUAGGAAGAGAGAAUUCAAUUUCCUGGGGGAUGUUACAAAGGUGGCGAAGAGCGCCAAGGGAAGCAGAGGUCGACUGAGACCUGAAAUGCGGACCAAAUUUGUCUCCCCUUUUGGGUGAAGACUUCAUCCCCUCUGGGAACAGGGAUUCCUUGAUUGUCAUCUUCGUUUUCCGAAACAUAGACGGCUGGGGAAGACAUCUUUUACUAAGAGGUUUCUCUUUUUCUGGUUUGGUAAAAGCUUUUAGAGGUAAAUGUACGCUACUGUAAAAGCCGUCGUUCCAUUUAACCUUAUUUAGCAGAAAACCGCCUCGAGAAUAUUGGGAAGUGGGACGGUUUUCCCAUGGUAUUAAUAUAAAAUUAGAAAAUUAAUGAUGACGAUUGUCAGGGAUAUCAAAUUAUUUGAUUAUCCGAGAUCGGCGUAAUAGCGGAAAACAUUGAAUAAUUCCGGAAUGUUAAAGAUCUCGAGUCAUUAAUUACUGUUUACUUAAGUCUUCCAAGCCGAGCACUCAGCUCGCAAGACUUGGGGGGCUAAAUGUUGGGGUCGGAUCCCACACAUCUUCGGUAGGAUCCACUUGGAUCUGUCCACGUCAUUAUUACAUAAUAAUCCUCUUAGAUUUUUAGAUGUUUCAUUGCGAGAAUCGAGCUCGACCUGUCGGAAGUUCGAAUAGGUUUAUUAAAGAGCUCGAUCUUUACUAGUACGGAGUUCGCUCUUAUUCAACAUAUAGUUUGCAUAAAAGAAGACCGAAGCGAGGAGAAUAUUGUUCGAGGUUCGCGGCAGCGUCAAGAUGCAGGAGUUCGGAGUCAAUAAGAAAGAGUUCGGAAGAUCCACGCGAAGUCCAAGAUAGUUCAAAUUCAAGCCGUUUCGGUCAAAUUGUAACCUACAUGAUUAAUGCGGAUCAAUGCGAUUAUGAGCAGUAAAUGACCGCAUUGAUCAUGUUUUCUCUAUAAAAACAACCUCAAACGCAUGUGUUUGGAAAAAAGAGAACAACCUUUUACCUCUUACCAUCAAGCAAUACAACAUACUCUUUCUUUUACAAUUUCGCAAGGUUUUUUACUAUCUUAUUCUUGCCAAACUCUUUCGCUUUAUUUAGUUUCUUGGUUACUUUCCUUUUCAAAUCCUUAUUUUCAUUUGUUGAUUUUAGAGUUUUUCUCCACAAAAAUACUUAAAGACUGUGAAUCCUACAUCCACAUUUUGGCGCCGCCUAUGGGGACUUACCGCAAAACUCUUUAAUCUCAAAAUCUCUCUUUUUCAAACCAAGAAACUAUGGCUGAUCAGCAAGCUUUGAGCAAUGCAAUUGCCUUGCUUACUUAGUCAACCACUGAUCUGACCAAUCAGAUGGGUACACUCGCUAGUGCCAACGCCACUUUUGGUGAAAGGUUAAACUCAAUCGAGCAAACUCUAACGAGUGUUCAAAAAACUCAAACAAAUUUGUCGAACGCGCAGAACGUUGUUUCAAGCCGUUUAGAUAAUUUGUCCUCAGCGCGAACAACAGCGAAUCAGCGCAGGCUAUUCCAGACUCCCACACAAAACAGAUCCGGGAGCACUCAAACUCCUCCUACAGGCCGUCCUGCUAGUACUAGCAAUCAGACAACCGUAGGAGAUGGGUCCAAUCCAACUGGGGAAGAAAAUCCCCAAAAUCAGGCAAUCCUGCUAUUGACGAAGGACUCCUAAUGGAAGAACCUGAUGUCAUCCUUUCCGAUGAUUUCGUCAAAGUUCGUCAAGAGCUUGAUUAGAUGAAGUCGAAGUUUCAUCAGGCGACCAGUUCGGCACCUGAGAUCGAUCGAGUAAUCGAAGAAACUCGACGAACACCCUUCACUUCAAGAAUCUCGAACCUUCGGAUCAAAGAUUCUAGAAAGGUCAAAUUACAACUUACGAUGGUAAAGGUGAUCCUAAAAAUCACCUCGCUGCUUUUCAGAUCACUGCUGGCAGAAUUGAUUUAGAACCAGACGAGGAAGAUGCCGGAUAUUGCAAACUAUUCUCUGAGAAUCUAUCUGGAUCGGCUUUAUUAUGGUUCACUCAGUUGGAGUCUGAAUCUAUUGAUAGUUUUAAGGAAUUGUCCUCCGCAUUCCUAAAACAGUAUUCCAUGUUCAUGGAAAAGGUGAUAUGUCUAUAUUUUACUUGUUUUUAGCAUCCAUUUAGCAUCACUUUAUCAUCAUUUCGUCAUUGUUUCAUACCAUUCUUCAUCAUUUGUCAUCACUUUGCAUGAUUAGGAUAGUUUUGCAUGCAUGUUGCAUAUUUGAGUUGUUUUCAGGUGAUUUGGAGCUGUUGGUGAGCAAAUUGGAAGAAGUGGACCAGAACCCAUCAGUAUGCUCAACCACGAGGUCGAGCACCAUCAUCAUGACCUUCCAAAUGCACUCGACCACGACCAAGUCGAGCACCAAGUCGAUCACCAACUCGAGCACCAAGUCGAUCACCAAGUCGAGCACCAAGUCGAUCACCAACUCGAGCACCAAGUCGAUCACCAACUCGAGCACCAAGUCGAUCACCAAGUCGAGUACCCUCUCCUUCACCAACUCGACCUACCACUCGACCUCGUGGUCGAGUACCAGCUCCUUCACUAAGUAGACCACGACUCCAGAUCACGACUCGAGCACGCAGUCGAGUAUCCUCCACCAACUUACUCGACCAAGCACUCGACUGCACGCUUCAGAGGCUUCUCAGAUCCCAACUCAACCAGACACUGAGCAUAAGGAAGAGAAGAAGAUGAAGCGGGACUCGAGUGCAUACUCGACCUAGUCACUCGAUCGCAUCACGACCGAAUCAAGAAACCGCAAAGGAGCCAGCUUUGCUCGACCUCUUCACUCGAUUGCACGAAGCCGAAUAUCUCCGUAAACCGCCUUAAUACUUUGUCGUCUUGUGAUUUAGGGUUUCCUAGUAUUUGCUAUAAAUAGGUUGUUUCUCAUAAUUUUCAAACUAAGUUUUAUUCUGUCUAAGUUUUAUUCUGCAAAACAAUUAGUGCUUUCUUCAUAUUUGUAAUCCAGAUUUCUCUUAAUCUAUUGAGUAUUUGCUUUUGAUUUCUUCUACAAAGUUGUUCAUCUUGUUGAGAUCUUGCUAAUAUGAAGUUUUUAUGUAUUUCUGGGUUUGUGUUCUUGGUUAUGAAUUUUGAGUAGUGAUUAGGGUUCUUGAGGAUGGGUUAGAGUAGUUUAGAAUCCUUGAUCUGCUAGGUGGUUGAGCUUGAUUGGUAGAUCCCUUCUGGAUUAGUUGUUCUUAAUGCUGAUUGCUUUCUGAUCAACUGGAAUCUGAGCCCAGACAUUUUCGCACCCAAAAGGUGUUCGAUGAAAUGUCUGAACCACUAAUUCCAGAGAUUCGUGGCUCUGUACCAAGGUAUUGGUUACAAGGAGCGUUUUGGCUUAGACUUGUUGUUUCGUAAUGCCUGUUAGGUUAGCUCUCGUCAAUGGUGAUUGAGUCUGGGACUAGCUUUGCUUGAGGAUCUCUGUUGCGGUAGCACUUUGAUUUGGCUAUUGAACUUGUUGUCUAGGGAUAGUUUGUUGAGCAUGUUAACCACCUGUUAGAUUAAGGAGACUUCACUACUCGAUCACCCCAUCCUCGGGAAUUUCUCUUCCAUUUGAUUUCCUUGUUUACAUCGCUAUUGAUUGCUUGAUCUUGUUACUUGUUGCUCAGUUUUAUCAUUUCUACCCUGUUUCAUUUGAAGUACUCGACCACACCCAGUAGUUUGGUAACAAACUGUGCAGUCGAGUACCCUGUUUACAGUUUCUGUUAAAUUACUCGACCUGAUACUCGACCACAUCCAGUGCUUGGCAUCAAGCUGUGUGAUCGAGUAUAUUGCCUGUUAUUGUUAGAAUUUAUGUUAUCUGCAUGAUCGCUAGAGCUGUUAACAACACCAAAACCUGUUAUUGCUUGGCUUGACUCUGUGAUAUCUGAUUGCAUCUUGAUUGCUAGCAUCACACCCAUUUGGAUUGACACCUUAAAUACUGCAAUGACAUGAUAGUACUUUAAGGAUAAUUGAUCUUAGUUAAAAUCCUACUAUCAAUUUGGCGCCGUUGCCGGGGAAUGGGAGUGGGGGUUUGUAAGGAGGAGGUACAAGCUUAGAUCAAGUUCUAUUUCAAUUUUCACUUAGGUUACUAACUUUUUGUUUUUCUUGUUGUCUUCUUGAUCCAGGUACAACCUUGCUGUAUGCAAACUCGAUCAAAAGGCAACCAGAACCUCCUUUUCAACGAUAACAUUGACCGUAUUGACAGAGAACUAAGGGAAAGGAGAGACACUACAGACCUUGAACACAACCAUCCUUUCAGAAUGGCUGAUGAACAAGAUGUCAACAAUCUGCCUGCAAACAUUGGUGCUGGAGAUGCACCAAGAAACCACCAUCAGAGGCAAGGAAUUGUGCCUCCUACUGUCCAAAACAACAACUUCGAGAUUAAAAGUGGUCUCAUCUCGAUGAUUCAAGGAAACAAGUUCCAUGGUCUGCCUCUGGAAGAUCCCUUAGACCACUUGGAUAACUUCGACAGGCUCUGCAGCCUAACCAAGAUAAACGGUGUUAGUGAGGACAGUUUCAAGCUGCGCCUGUUUACCUUCUCACUGGGAGACAAAGCACACCAAUGGGAAAAGACAUUACCUGCUGGCUCCAUCACAUCUUGGGACGAUUGCAAGAAGGCCUUCUUAACAAAGUUCUUCUCAAAUUCAAGAACUGCAAGGCUUAGGAACGAAAUCUCCAGUUUUACCCAAAAGCAGUCUGAAUCCAUUUGUGAAGCCUGGGAGAGAUUCAAAGGCUACACUAUACAGUGUCCACACCAUGGUUUCAAGAAGGCUUCUCUACUAAGCACACUCUACAGGGGAGUUUUGCCCAAGAUCAGAAUGUUGCUGGACACUGCUUCUAAUGGGAUUUCUUGAAUAAGGAUGUUGAAGACGGCUGGGAAUUAAUUGAGAACUUAGCUCAAUCCGAUGGUAAUUAUAACGAGGAUUUUGAUCGCUCCAACAAAGGUAUUGGAGAAUCGGAUGAUAAACACAGGAAAGAGAUGAAAGCUCUUAAUGAGAAACUGGAUAGGCUUAUCCUUGGCCAGCAGAAGAAUGUGCCCUUUCUACUUGAUGACGAGCUGUAUCAAGUCCAAGAUGGGGAGGGGAACCAGUUAGAAGAGGUCAGCUACAUCAACAAUCAAGGCGGCUACAAAGGGUAUAACAACUUCAAGACUAACAACCCCAACCUUUCUUACCGCAGCACCAACGUUGCUAAUCCACAGGAUCAAGUGUAUCCUCCACAACAACAGCAAGGUCAGAAUAAACCUUUUGUUCCCUACACCAAAGUUUUGCUCCCUUCAACAAUUUCAGGGGAACUACCAGCAGCAAACACCACCUGGGUUUGCACCUCAGCAACACCAAGGUCAUGCUGCCCCUGAUUCUGACAUGAAGCAAAUGCUACAACAACUUCUCCAAGGACAAGCAUCUGGCUCCAUGGAGAUUGCUAAGAAGAUUUCUGAAUUACACAAUAAGCUGGACUGUAGCUACAAUGACUUGAAUGUCAAAGUGGAGUCAUUGAAUUCUAAAGUCUGAUACUUGGAAGGACAAUCUGCAUCAACAUCUGCUCCAAAACCUACUGGCCAACUUCCAGGCAAAGCGAUUCAGAAUCCAAAAGACUAUGCUCAGGCUCAUGCUAUCACCCUGCGCAGUGGUAAAGAACUUCCAGCCAGAGAGGGACCUAAGCUAGCCACUGAGGACAGUGCAGACCAAGAUGGGGAGGAUUUCUGUCUCAAUGAAGAUCAAGCUGACAAGCCAACAGAAGUACUUGACCCCUACUCGACUGUGUUACUCGACCACCAACUUCAGUAACAUCAUCUGCUGCUCUUAAACCAGUUGCUGCUAAGAACAAGGAGAAGGUUUUUGUACCUCCUCCUUACAAACCCCCACUCCCAUUCCCUGGACGACACAAGAAAGCAUUGGCAGAUAAGUAUAGAGCUAUGUUUGCCAAGAACAUCAAAGAAGUUGAAUUAAGAAUACUUCUUGUCGACGCUCUCGCGCUUAUUCCGGAUUCCCACAAGUUUCUGGAAGACCUGAUCAUGGAAAGAAUUCAAGAAGUGCAAGGAAUGGUAGUAUUGAGUCAUGAAUGCAGUGCUAUUAUACAAAAGAAGAUCAUUCCAAAGAAGCUUGGUGAUCCUGGUUCAUUUACUCUACCAUGCUCCUUAGGUCUCAUGCCACUCUCUGUUGCUAAGCGAUUAGGAUUCACUCAAUACAAGUCCUGCAACAUCUCCCUUAUUCUUGCUGACAGAUCAGUAAGGAUACCUCAUGGGCUACUUGAAGACUUACCAAUCAGGAUAGGAGUUGUGGAGAUACCAACUGACUUUGUAGUGCUUGAGAUGGAUGAAGAACCCAAGGAUCCUUUAAUUUUGGGAAGACCUUUCUUGGCGACUGCUGGAGCUAUCAUUGAUGUCAAGAAGGGGAAGAUCGAUCUGAACCUUGGUAAAGACCUUAAAAUGACCUUUGAUAUAAAAGAUGCAAUGAAGAAGCCAACUAUAGAAGGGCAACUCUUUUGGAUUGAAGAAAUGGAUCAGUUAGCUGAUGAGUUACUAGAGGAACUAGCAGAAGAAGAUCACCUUAAGAGUGCUUUGACCAAGAAUGGUGAAGAAGGGUUUCUGCAUUUAGAAACUUUGGGUUACCAGAAGCUGUUGGACUCACACAAAGCAGUAGAAGAGUUAGAUUCCUUUGAGGAAUUGAAUGAGUCAACAACAGAGGUAAUGGCAGUGAAUGACGAGGACUCAACUCAGGCUCAACCUGCUCACUCGAGGACUUACUCGACUGAACACUCGACCACUACAGUUGACAUCCCUGCGGAGCUGAUCAUACCAACAUCAGACGACUGGUCUGAACUCAAGGCACCAAAAGUUGAACUUAAGCCGCUUCCCAAAGGACUCAGGUAUGCAUUUCUAGGUAACAACUCUACAUAUCCUGUCAUUAUGAAUGAUGUAUUAACAGAUGAACAAGUGCAUCUUCUGUUAACUGAACUGAAAAAGUAUAGAAGAGCCAUUGGUUAUUCACUUGAUGAUAUAAAGGGCAUUUCACCUAGUUUAUGCACACAUCGCAUUCAUCUUGAAAAUGAAUCUUAUUCGAGCAUUGAACCCCGAAGAAGGUUGAAUCCUAAUUUAAAAGAAGUUGUAAAGAAGGAGAUACUUAAACUAUUGGAAGCAGGUGUAAUUUACCCUAUUUCCGAUAGCACUUGGGUAUCUCCAGUUCAUUGUGUUCCAAAGAAAGGAGGUAUGACUGUUGUAAAAAAUGAUAAAGAUGAGCUCAUACCCACUAGAACUAUAACUGGACAUAGAAUGUGCAUUGACUAUAGGAAGUUGAAUUCUGCAUCUAGGAAAGAUCAUUUUCCACUUCCAUUCAUUGAUCAAAUGCUAGAAAGGUUAGCUAAUCACCCAUACUACUGCUUUCUUGAUGGUUAUAGUGGUUUCUUUCAAAUACCAAUUCACCCUAAUGAUUAAGAGAAAACUACAUUCACAUGUCCAUAUGGAACCUUUACAUAUAAAAGAAUGCCUUUUGGUCUCUGUAAUGCACCAGCUACAUUUCAGCGGUGCAUGACUUCUAUCUUCUCAGAUUUAAUUGAGGAGACGGUUGAGGUAUUCAUGGAUGACUUUUCUGUGUAUGGCUCCUCCUUUUCCUCUUAUUUGUCAAACUUGUGCAGAGUACUUUCUAGGUGUGAAGAGACGAACUUGGUACUCAACUGGGAAAAAUGUCAUUUCAUGGUCAAAGAAGGCAUUGUAUUGGGGCACAAGAUUUCAGAGAAGGGUAUAGAGGUUGACAGAGCAAAGAUUGAGGUUAUGGUGCAACUGCAACCACCAAAGAGUGUCAAGGACGUGAGAAGUUUUCUGGGACAUGCUGGGUUUUAUAGAAGGUUUAUCAAGGAUUUCUCUAAGCUGGCAAGACCAAUGACAAGGCUGCUGUGUAAGGAAACAGAGUUUGAUUUUGAUGAGGAAUGCCUGAAAGCUUUUCAACUCAUCAAGGAAGCUCUAAUUUCAGCUCCAAUAGUCCAAGCUCCAAACUGGGACUAUCCAUUCGAAAUCAUGUGUGACACCUCAGAUUACGCUGUAGGAGCAGUCUUGGGACAAAAGAUUGACAAGAAGCUCCAUGUCAUCUAUUACGCAAGUAGAACAAUGGAUGAUGCUCAGGUGAAGUAUGCCACAACAGAGAAGGAGAUAUUGGCAGUUGUUUUUGCGUUUGAAAAGUUCAGAAGCUACUUGGUGGGUUCUAAAGUCAUAGUCUACACAGAUCAUGCAGCCUUGAGACACAUUUAUGCAAAGAAGGACACUAAGCCAAGACUAUUGAGAUGGAUACUACUUCUGCAAGAGUUUGACAUGGAAAUAGUAGACAAGAAGGGUAUAGAGAAUGGUGUAGCUGAUCACUUAUCAAGGAUGAGGAUCGAUGAUGAAGUCCCUAUUGAUGAUUCGAUGCCAGAGGAGCAACUCAUGGUUACAGAAUUCUUUGGAAAGAAUUACAGUGGGAAUGAGUUUCACCAACUGAAUGUUGUUGAAGGAAAAUCUCCAUGGUAUGCUGAUCAUGUCAAUUACUUGGCCUGCGGAGUAGAGCCUCCCAACCUGACCAGUUAUGAAAAGAAGAAGUUUUUCUGAGAUAUCAACCACUACUACUGGGAUGAGCCAUAUCUUUACACUCUCUGUAAAGACAAAAUUUACAGAAGAUGUAUCUCAGAGGAGGAAGUGGAAGACAUCUUGCUUCACUGCCAUGGUUCAACAUAUGGUGGUCACUUUGCGACUUUUAAGACAGUAUCUAAGGUACUGCAAGCAGGCUUCUGGUGGCCAACCAUGUUCAAAGAUGCCCAGCAGUUCAUAUCAAGAUGUGACUCAUGCCUAAGGAAGGGAAACAUCAGCAGAAGAAAUAAAAUGCCACAAAAUCCUAUACUAGAGGUAGAAAUCUUUGACGUCUGGGGAAUCGACUUUAUAGGGCCGUUCCCUUCUUCCUAUGGGAACAAAUACAUCUUGGUAGCAGUAGACUACGUGUCCAAGUGGGUUGAGGCCAUUGCAAGUCCGACAAAUGACUCAAGGGUGGUUCUGAAGAUGUUUAAAACCAUAAUUUUCCCUAGAUUUGGUAUACCAAGGGUCGUCAUCAGUGAUGGAGGUACACACUUCAUCAACAAAGUCUUUGAGAACUUAUUGAAGAAACACGGCGUGAAGCAUAAGGUAGCCACUCCUUAUCAUCCACAGACAAGUGGUCAGGUUGAAAUCUCCAACAGGGAGAUAAAAGCAAUUCUAGAGAAGACCGUUGGAACAACAAGGAAAGACUGGUCUGCAAAGCUCGAUGACGCACUGUGGGCUUACAGGACGGCCUUCAAGACCCCUAUUGGUACAACCCCCUUCAACCUUCUUUAUGGAAAAUCCUGUCACCUACCUGUUGAGCUCGAGUACAAGGCUAUGUGGGCUGUGAAGCUUCUGAAUUACGACAUCAAAACUGCUGGAGAGAAGAGGUUGAUCCAGCUGAAUGAUCUCAAUGAAGUUAGGUUGGAAGCUUAUGAGAGCUCUAAAAUUUACAAAGAAAGGACUAAGCUUUUCCAUGAUAAGAAGAUCAUCACCAAGGAUUUCCAAGUUGGUGAUCAGGUGCUGCUAUUCAACUCUCGCCUAAAACUCUUUCCAGGAAAGCUAAAGUCUAGAUGGUCUGGUCCCUUCUGUGUUACUGAAGUCCGCCCUUAUGGAGCAGUCACUCUAGCUGGUAAGAGUGGAGAUUUCACAGUGAAUGGCCAAAGACUCAAGAAAUACUUAGCAGAUCAAAUCCUUCCAGAGGUGACCUCGGUUCAUCUCCAGGACCCUCUUGAUGUUUAAGGGAGUAAGGAAGUCAAGCUAAUGACUUAAAACAAGCUCACUUGGGAGGAAGUCCCAUGACUAUCUCUGUAAAUAUAUAUAUUUUUUUUCUUUCUUGUUAUUUUUGAUUUGUUUUGGUAGUGUUUGUGGUUCUCAGGAAUGGAGAAUCAAUCGGGAGAUAGAGUAAAAAUUUAAAAAAUUUUACUCCACCAUGGACCUUGAGAUCGAGUAUAUUAGCCCAGUGGAGUCCAAAAAUUUGAAAAUCUUUUGUUGCACCUAGAGACCCCGCCAUCGAGUAGGAGAGUCGAGCUUGUGUGUUUUUGCUCACAAAAAUUCCAAUUCAUCACCAUCUACUCGAUCAAAAGGAGAACAAGACGAUGAGAGUGCGCAACAGAGCACCCUACCAACGUGGAGAUCGAGUAUAAUGGUCAGUUUGGUGCAAUUUGAUUGUCUUGGAGCUGAAAAAGUAGAAGAAGGAUCAAGUGAUUAAAACAAGUUUGGAGGUACAGUAAUCAACUCUAAUGAGUUGCGAUUCUGCUAAUAGUGUUUAAAGAGAUUCCCCACUUGAGCCAAUGGAGGCAUCCCAUCAUGUCUCCUACAUCCCAUCUUGUCUCCCACCAAGCUAAAGCCACCAACUUACCCACUUCCUUUCCCUACGUUUUUAAUUCUCCUCCACAUCUUCAAGGGCAAACCACUUACACCACUCCCCUAUAUAUACAAACAUUUCCAAGCUCUACCUCUCACUACAAAGCUCACUUCUCUCUCUAAAUCGUCCAAAAAACACCAACAUCGCAGCCUCCAACACAUCCGCUACUCCGUUUACUCGAUCACGAGCUCAUUCCCACCGCCAUUCGUUUACUUCACUUGCUUGACCAAGCAGCCCCAAAUCCGCUCCCAUCAGCCACAUUCUAAGGUUUACUCAAUCCUUUGUCUCACCCAAACUUUAACUCUUUCUUCUAUCUUGGUUUUGAUUUUUUUGGACUCACUAACCUACUAAUUUGUAGUUUUGAGUUUGAUUCAUUCAGUUCGAAAAAAAAAAAAUGAGUUCAAACAAUGACCAGGUGAGCUAUGCCUCUAGCCAGGAUCACGAUUACAAUGUUAAUGAGAACGAGUCAUGGUCUACAUCUCUUCCAGAAAGAGAAGGUCAAGAGUACUCUCGGCUCAGAAACGACAUCGCUAGCGGCAAGAGAACCAUGAUAGAGAUAUCCAGUUCGUUGAAGGACAUUGCAACGAAGCCUUGGAAGACAGAGAAGAAAAAAAUCUCAAUGGAAGAGUACUGUGAGCUCUUCAGGCGUCAUCACUUCGUCGGGACUAGGUACCCGCAUCCAGGGACGAUGGUGGAGCUCGGUAUCUAUGAAGAUAUCGAGUAUCUCUGUGAGCAAACCAGCCUAUUCACCCUCAUGAACCGUCCCUACAGCGCUUACAAGGAGGAAACAAUCCAGUUUCUCUCCUCCUUCCAAGUUGAGAUCUUUUCUGAGAAGAAGAAGAAGAGAGAAAGGGAUUAUGGGCUCGGCUACUUGACCUUCACUAUCCAUGGCCAAGAUUACAUCUUCACCAUGAAACAGCUGGAAUCUCUCUUCGAGUUUCAGAGCGGAGUAGGCACUGGCCACCGUGUUGACCGUAAGGAGUUAGUUGGACUCUGGGAAACAAUAGGAGAUGACGUCAAGUUCUUCUCUUCCCGCUCCAAGAGCAACACUAUCAGAAGCCCAGUCCUUCGCUACUUCCACCGCAUCCUAGCCAACGUUCUCUUCGCAAGGGAAAUAACCGGAACAAUCACCAACGGAGAGAUGGAAGUGAUGGUGAAGGCACUACAAGAAACCCUGGGCGUAACCACAAACAAUACCGUGUUGAUGGGUGACAAGUCAAACUCUUCUGCUGUUUUCUUCUUACUCGGCCACCUGUGGAGCUACAAAUCAUGGGCAGUGACGAAUGCCAAGAAAACUACUAAAGGAAAAUUGUGUAUGGGUGGGCUGAUAACACCCAUAUUGCUAGCAUGUGGAGUACCUUUAGAGUCACAAGAAGUCCUUCCUAAGUGGGUCGACAUCGAGCACUUGAGGAAAACUACCUCUUUGGCUUGGGGAAUGAUAGAUGAAAGGUAUGCCUGGAUAUUUGGUCUUCCAGAAGCAGAAGGGGCGAAGUUUAUCCUCCCUCACCAGGCAUACACCACGAUCACGAACAGAGGCAAUAUUGACUUCAGGCCACCUGUUCAGAUGCUCUAUGGCGUGAACGAAGUCGUUCAACCUGCUGAAGAAGAAGGAGCCAAUG